GUUUAUGUAGUUGAACUACAACGGUGGUUUUUCAAGUCAUUGGUUUUGGUUAAAACCCAAACAUAAAUU
rnacentral:tRNA from 1 species